AUGAACGCUGACAGAAUGCUUAACACAUGCAAGUCAACUUGAAUUUGGGUUUUUAACUUAGGUUUGGGUGGCGGACGGGUGAGUAACGCGUAAAGAACUUGCCUCACAGCUAGGGACAACAUUUGGAAACGAAUGCUAAUACCUAAUAUUAUGAUAAUAGGGCAUCCUAUAAUUAUGAAAGCUAUAAGCGCUGUGAGAGAGCUUUGCGUCCCAUUAGCUAGUUGGAGAGGUAACGGCUCACCAAGGCGAUGAUGGGUAGCCGGCCUGAGAGGGUGAUCGGCCACAAGGGGACUGAGACACGGCCCUUACUCCUACGGGAGGCAGCAGUGGGGAAUAUUGGACAAUGGACCAAGAGUCUGAUCCAGCAAUUCUGUGUGCACGAUGAAGUUUUUUGGAAUGUAAAGUGCUUUCAGUUGGGAAGAAAGAAAUGACGGUACCAACAGAAGAAGUGACGGCUAAAUACGUG
rnacentral:rRNA from 1 species